rnacentral:rRNA from 1 species
CAGCAGCCGCGGUAAUACGAAGGGGGCUAGCGUUGUUCGGAAUUACUGGGCGUAAAGGGCGCGUAGGCGGCCAUCCAAGUUAGAUGUGAAAGCCCUGGGCUCAACCUGGGGGCUGCGUUUGAUACUUGAUUGCUAGAGUGGGGAAGAGGGUCGUGGAAUUCCCAGUGUAGAGGUGAAAUUCGUAGAUAUUGGGAAGAACACCGGUGGCGAAGGCGGCGACCUGGUCCAUUACUGACGCUGAGGCGCGAAAGCGUGGGGAGCAAACAGGAUUAGAUACCCCUGUAGUCCCUGUCUCUUAUAC